rnacentral:rRNA from 1 species
AUUGAACGCUGGCGGCAGGCCUAACACAUGCAAGUCGAGCGGAGCGGAGGAAGGGUGCGUAAGACCUAGGAAUCUGCCUGGGAGUGGGGGAUAACGUCCGGAACCGGGCGCUAAUACCGCAUACUCUCAGAUGAGCAUAGGUCGGAUUAGGUAGUGGGUGGGGUAAAGGCCUAGCAAGGCGACGAUCCGUAACUGGUCUGAGAGGAUGAUCAGCCACACUGGAACUGAGACACGGUCCAGACUCCUACGGGAGGCAGCAGUGGGGAAUAUUGCACAAUGGGCGAAAGCCUGAUCCAGCCAGGCCGCGGGUGUGAAGAAGGUCUUCGGAUUGUAAAGUACUUUAAGUUGGGAGGCGUUACCAGCAGAAGAAGCACCGGCUAACUUCGUGCCAGCAGCCGCGGUAAUAC